rnacentral:tRNA from 1 species
UCUCCAGUGGCGCAGUUGGUUAGCGCAUGGUACUUAUAUGACAGUAACUUAAUGUGCUGAUGGAAAAUAGAAGUAAAUGAAAGUAAUGCCGAGGUCGCGAGUUCGAGCCUCGCCUGGAGGA